AUUGAACGCUGGCGGCAGGCCUAACACAUGCAAGUCGAGCGGAUGAAGGGAGCUUGCUUCUGGAUCCAGCGGGGGACGGGUGAGUAAUGCCUAGGAAUCUGGCUGGUAGAGGGGGAUAACGUCCGGAAACGGGCGUUAAUACCGCAUCAGACCUGAGGGAGCACGUGGGGGAUCUUCGGACUUCACGCUACCAGAUGAGCCUAGGUCGGCUUAGCUAGUUGGUGGGGGAUAGGCCUGCCAAGGCGACGAUCCGCAACUGAUCAGAGAGGAUGAACCGUCACACUGGAACUGGGACACGGGCCAGACUCCUACGGAGAGCAGCAGUGGGGAAUAUUGGGAGGCGGGCGAGAGCAAGAUCCAGCCAUGGGAGAAAUGUUAAGAAGGUCUUGCGGUGGGAAAGCACAAGAAGUAGGGAUGGAGGGCAGUAAGUUAAGGCCUAGCUAUAUUGACGUUACCAGCAGAAUAAGCACCGGCUAACUUCGUG
rnacentral:rRNA from 1 species